rnacentral:rRNA from 1 species
GACGAACGCUGGCGGCGUGCUUAACACAUGCAAGUCGAGCGGGGCGGCGAACGGGCGAGUAACUCGUUAGUAACUGACCCCCUCCCUGGGAUAACAGAUGGAUACGGAUGCUAAUACCGGAUAGCGUGGGAUGGCUGGCGUCCUAUCCGCUUGUUGGUUGGGUAGUGGCCUACCAAGGCGACGAAGGGUAGCCGGCCUGAGAGGGCGAACGGCCACAUUGGGCUGGGAUACGGCCCAAACGCCUACGGGAGGCAGCAGUGGGGAAUAUUGCACAGUGGGGGCGACCCUGAUGCAGCAACGCGCGUGCGGGAUGAAGGCUAUCGGAUUGUAAACGGCUUUCAGCCAUGACGCGGUAGUGGCAGAAGAAGCACCGGCUAACUCCGUGCCAGCAGCCGCGGUAAUAC